GUCGGGGUUGUUGCUGGUUGUUUACCAACGCGCCAGCCGGCAAGGCACGCGAAUCGGUACUUCUGCGGAAAGGAUACCACUAUUGCCUUAUAUGAAGUCAGCAUUUUCAAGACACAAGACAGAAUUGUGCAUCACAGUUUGAGGAGGAAAGCAGGAGCAGUUGCACAGUGGGAAUAGAGGAGACGAAGAGACAAUGAACGACCAUAUAGACAAGCUGACCUCAUCAACCAUCCAGACCAACGUUCCCAAAAUUUUAAACAAAGUCAAAGACGUGCAGCUUAGGAAUGGUCUCAGACUCCCCAUGUGGAACAUCUCAGGUAAAUCCACUUGACAGAGUACCUGUUUCAAGAGACAUCCUGGGAGAAGGUUAAGUGACAUCAUCUGAUUCAUACAGCAGAAAAACAGAGCCAUCAAACCUAGGACUACUGGAUAAAGCUCUUUAACAGCUCACAGCCUUAAACUUUUGUAUAAAAAGGACAGACAAGACUAAUUUUCACACUGCAAAGAAACUAGAGACAAAACCAUCAUUUUAUGAAUUAAUUUUGUUCCCCUCUUGUGUGAAUAGGACCUAUUUCCCUUUUGGCUAGCAUAAUAUUAGUAUUAGUAAAAAAAUAUUACAUGGAUUGGUUGACCUCAGCAUUGGUAAAGAUGUUCAGACUGCCUUUGAUAAAGCCCAGACAUAAUAUUGUACCUUAUAUAGAAACCACUAUUACAACAGCGGAAAAGAGAAACAACCAGCCAUUGAAUCCACCAAUAAUUUAUUAAAAAUUAAUAAAAACUUGUA